rnacentral:rRNA from 1 species
AUGGCGUCGUCGAGGGUGAUGGCGUCGUCGUCGUCGAAGCCGCCGUCGCACACGGCGUCGGAUCUCGCGCGCUUCGCGCAGGCAGCUGGGAGGCCCGGCGGCGGGGGCGGCAGCGGGCUGGGGUCCAUGAACGUGGAGGAGCUGCUCCGCGGCAUCUACGGCGACGCCCCCACGCCGGCGCCCGACCGGCCGGCGUCGCCCCCCGUCCCGCCGCUCCCGGCGCCAUCGCGGCAACAGGCGACCGCGCGGCGGACGGCGGACGAGGUGUGGAGAGAGAUCACCGGCGGUAGCGGCGGGGAGGAGGAGGCGGCCCCGGCCUCCGCUGGCGGGGCCGGGGAGAUGACGCUGGAGGACUUCCUGGCGAGGGAGGACGGCGCCGUCGUCAGGGGGACGGAGGAGCAGGUGGCGAUGCCGACGAUGGCGCUUCUCGGCGGGGCGGAGGGCGCGCGGGGCGGCGGGAGGGGGAGGAAGCGGCAGCUCAUGGACCCCAUGGACCGCGCCGCGAUGCAGCGGCAUAAGCGGAUGAUCAAGAACCGCGAGUCCGCCGCGAGGUCACGGGAGAGGAAGCAGGCCUACAUAGCGGAGCUCGAGUCGCUGGUCACCCAGCUCGAAGAGGAGAACGCCCACCUGUCCAAAGAACAGGAGGAGGCAAACCAGAGACGGCUGAAAGAGCUCAAGGAAAAAUUGACUCCAGUCAUUAUUGCAAAAACGCCGUCACAAGAUCUUAGAAGAACAAACUCAAUGGAGUGGUAG